GCUGGGCAUAGUGGCACAUGCCUGUAAUCUCAGCAACCUGAGAAGCUGAGGCAGGAGGAUUGCAGUUUUGAGACCAGCCUUAGCAACUUAGUGAGAUCCUGUCUCAA
rnacentral:sRNA from 1 species